UACAGGACUGAGCGGCGGUCAUAUUUUGUACCGCUAUGCGGUACAUCUAGUUUUACACACAUUGCACUGAUAUUUGAUUAGAAAAAUGUCAUUAAACGGUUAUGAGCCCUUUCAGAUUAACUGGGUUGGUUAGCAUCAGCUAAUCUAGGUUAACUUUAGCUAGCUCAGGACCAUAAUCGACGUCUCUGUAGGAUGCUAGAUCUAGCUAUAUUUACAGACUAUAAAGAACUUUGCUAUGAUGCUAUCGUGUUUGACUCAUAGCUGCCAACACUCCCGUUUUUUACGUGUUUCGCCCAUAUUUCAUACCAAUCUCCCGCCCGUUUUGCCAUUUUUUUUCCAACCGGAAAGUGGCAAAACGGAUAGGAGCUAACUGGUGUUUUAGCUAUAAGUUAGCUCUGAGCUUCCCUCAUCCACACGUUAUUCACCAAUAUGCAAGCUCUAUAUUGGUUUAUGACAAAAGUUUGUUUAACAGUGUACAGUCACCCUAACAUUGACAUUUAAGUUAAUUAAACUGAUGACAUUUUAACGCGAUUGUUCAUCAGUGUACAGACAUCCCAAGUCUAAGGCGCUCCAGGAGUCUCUCAUAUCAGAUAGUGGCUCAUGGAUGCCACGAUCAUCAGUCCCAUAUAGUAUUUUUGUAUAAAUAGGCUAUCUUAACAGUUGACCUCUGUCUCUUUCAUCAUCAGAUAAUUUUUUCAUUGAAAUGAAAGCUUCUUGCAUUUCACCCCAAGUGUGCUUGUGCAUUGUGGGCCUAUGCCCAACAGCAUAUAAUUUACUGUGCUUGUCUCUAAGACAGCUGAUGUGGAUCCAGCUUCGCUGUCCACCUCGUCCAUUAUAUCGGGACACCUCGGCCGCCGUUAUCCCCUAACAUAUGCAUGCAUACUGCAUCUGGGCAUGUAAUUAUGACUGGACUGAUUAAUGACUUUAAUGACUUUAGCUUAUAUGGUAGAGUAUGGUAGAGGGCGGGCGGGUAGAGUGUUCCAUGAAAUGAGGUUCCACAGGUUGGGAUGUCUGCAUGUACAGUAUGAUGCUUCAUUACAGUGCACAAUGAGCACUUCCCACAUACUGGGAGAGUGUGUGAAUUUCAAGAGUUUAGGGCUCUCCCAAAUGGAGUAGCAUACCUGGUGCUGCACUUGCCAUGUUAAUAUUAACGCUGCCAUUUUUUGAUUACAGAGAAUGGUGGAGACGAUGGCCAACGACCUUCUUAAUGCGUUGGCCAGGUCAAGCGUUCCCACCUCUACCUCCACUAAACCAGCACCCACUCCCAUCUUGACCCCUACCCCUAUACCUACCUCUGCCCCUGCUCCUUUCUCCACUGCUAGCCCUGCAAGCAGGAUAAAUAACGCAUUGAAAUAUUGAUGAAUAUGUGAUCAGUGUCAUUGAAAUUGAUAGUUAAACUUUAGUGCUUUUUUUCUCAUCUUUUUUUGUAGACAGUUUCCUGGUAUGUACUCUGGGGGGCCUGUAAAGAGAGGGAAGGCUAGGUUUAACCCCCCCGACAGAUCCCCUAGAGUCAUAAAUCUGCCAGUGUUUGUCCUGCCUGGACCAACAACAAUGACCCCAAAGGGCUCCAGGGAGCUGGAGCUUGCCCACGCAGGCCUGGGGAAGAAGGUGGUCCUGGUGCCAGAAAGUGCCAGCCAUUCAGAGAUUGUCUCACUGAUGGAGGGGGAGUUUACUAAGCUGAGCCCUCUCAUGGGGAGGUGGAUGUUUUUUAAAGCCACAGGUGGCAGUGGCCAGAGGAAAUUGAGCAUCAUUCCAAUAGAUUCAGAGGGCUAUUCGGGCCGUCAGCUCCGUGUGGCAUCGAACAACGGGAAGAAUGUGUUGUUUUUGGUUCCUCUCCAGGAGGAACUGGAGACUUCGCCCCUGCCCUUUAGUUCCCCUGAAUUUUCAAAAAUGCCGAAGGUGGCCUGCAAUAGUUGUUCGGAAAUCAUCCCUUUGCAGAUGUUGGCACUACACUCAGAGACCUGCCAGACAGCUCAGCAGCAAACAGACAACAUCAUUAUAGAUGACAAUGAUGAGGAGGAUGAUGAGGGUGAUGGUGAUGCAGAUGUGGACUGUACAAUGAGAAAAGGGGUUUGUCCUAUAUGCCAGCUACAAUUUCCAGCCACAGAGCUCCCACAUCACGCCAACAUUUGUGCAGAAAGGUCCUUCAAUACUGAGGAAGAUAUGGAACCAAACCUUCCAGGACCGUCAUCUUCAAACACAUCACUACCCCCUCCAUCAACACAAACAACAGAGGUGUGGAAAACUGCAGCCCCAUCUGAGGCUGUGCGCCUCUUCAUGGAGGAGCUGAGGAGAGGAGCAAACCACCUGCCACCUCUACGGCUGACUCUAAAUGCAGGGGACACUGAUGAAGAGCGGGAUGGCGCCCUAAUUUCCUUUUACAAACAACGUCAGACGUGCCAGUGGGCUGCUCAUUUCAGAUGCAACAUAUUAGGGGAUGCUGCAGUUGGUGUUGGGGUAAUGAGAAACACGCUAUCAACAGCCAUCUCGAAAUUGACAAAUGGCUUUAAGAACAUGGGAAAUGCAGGUGUGACUGCCAUCUUUGAAGGACAGAGAGAGCAUCUGGUACCAAACUUGUGUGCAGCACUCUUGGAGUGUGAUUUGUUUGCUAUGGCUGGAAGGGUGGUUGGUCACUCUGCCAUCCAUGGCGGUCCUUCCCUGUCAGGACUAAGUCCAGCAGUAGUAGAUGCCCUUUCACAUGGGACAAAGGAACUAGUAACAUCAAAACUCAGUCUGGAAGAUUGAUGUGAGGGACACCAUCAGUCUAUAUGUACUGUAUGUGUAAGGGGCAUUGACAGUGAGCAUUGACAGUGAUGACAGUGAGGACGAGAUGCCAACAGCGAAUACCAGUAUCAUCUCGGGGUUCUUUCGAACCUUUGUCAAAGAAGCAUCUUCAGACGUCCUGAAAGACCUGUUGAAGUUUUGGACCGGGUGGGAAUUGCCUGCCAAGCGGCUAACAUUAGAAGUUAUGAGAUCCCGCGGAUAUCAUCAUCUGCCAACUUCAAGUACGUGCUAUGAGCGACUGAGAAUUCCAAAUCACUAUAAGAGUGGCACUGAAUUAAGAUCAGACCUCCAUGCAUGCCUUCAGUCAGUUGAGACAGGUUUUGGCCUGAUAUGAAAUGUGAAGAAAUAACAUCCUCUAACAUUGUUUUAUUGUUGGUGUUGUUAUUGUUAUUCAAUGAAAUAUUAAAAUAAAUGUUAUAUUUUAUCAGUAAUUGUUUUUAUUGUAAUUCUAUUGAUGUUUUACUUACUGAGAGGAAAUAAUUUGGUUUGGAUUAAUACGUUUGUUCU